CUACGGGGUGCACCAGUGGGGAAUAUUGCACAAUGGAGGAAACUCUGAUGCAGCAACGCCGCGUGGAGGAUGACACUUUUCGGAGCGUAAACUCCUUUUAUAUAGGAAGAAGAUGACGGUACUAUAUGAAUAAGCGCCGGCUAACUCCGUGCCAGCAGCCGCGGUAAUACGGAGGGCGCAAGCGUUACUCGGAAUCACUGGGCGUAAAGAGCGUGUAGGCGGAUUAAAAAGUCAGAAGUGAAACCCUAUAGCUUAACUAUAGAACUGCUUCUGAAACUCUUAAUCUAGAAUGUGGGAGAGGUAGAUGGAAUUUCUGGUGUAGGGGUAAAAUCCGUAGAGAUCAGAAGGAAUACCGAUUGCGAAGGCGAUCUACUAGAACAUUAUUGACGCUGAGACGCGAAAGCGUGGGGAGCAAACAGGAUUAGAUACCCGCGUAGUC
rnacentral:rRNA from 1 species